rnacentral:rRNA from 3 species
UUUGGGAAGUCCUUGUGUUGCACCC